UUCUAUGGGGAAAAAAAAAACCAAACCCAAAACCAAACCCUACGGAUGUCUCUGUCAGGGAUUGUCACGUGAAGGAUUUGCAACAGCAGCAGCUCCAGAGUGAUGCUCGGGAGUGCUGAGCUUAACCCGUCGCCCGCUCUACUUGAGGUGCCCUUCUAUGAAUUUUGGCAACUGCAUAGUUGCUUUAUCGCUCUGCAAAUGUGCUCCCAUUAAAAAAAAAACAACAAACAAAACAACAAAACAACCAAACAAAAACAAAAAGCCCAAACCCUCAGCUUUUCACCGUUUGAUGUGUAUCCUCGGCCCCAUUCAUUUGCUAGAUGUUUUUCUCCUUUGAUCUAUUGGUAAUGGUGUUCAUUUAGGAGAGGUAUUCAGCUGAGCAGGCUUCGAUAUUCUAUCAAGGAAUUUGAAUAAAUACAAUUAUUCCAUGUUACAAAAUAAGAAAUAGCUGAGGGCUUUAGACAUAGAAAAAGCAUGGGGCAAAAAGGAGUUUCAGGGCUUCCUUUAAUAGAGCUUUACAAUGCAGUCAGUAAAUCUGGCUUGUUAAUGAAAUGUUCCUAAUAGCUACAAUUAGGGCCUCUGCUGACUUUAUCUUUGAAUUGAAAAUAAUUUUUUUCAAUGAACCUUUCAAUAUUAAAUUGUUGUUGCCAUGUUGCUGGCUUGGUUGAUCAUAGUUCUUAUGUGAAUUCUGUCUUUCCUAAGUGGAAGAGCAGGGAUGUCGUAUAAUAUCUAUUUAAAGCACAACCAAUGUUCAUCAGUCAACAGAUUUUUUUGCAAAUUAAAUAUUCCUGGUUAUUAAUAUUGGUGGGAAAAAAAUGAAUGUAUUUUUUGAACGCAAGUAAGGAAAAAUAGUUCCAACACUUUUUUGAGGGGUGGGUCUAUUUUUAUAAUUUUUUAACCAUGCUUGCUCCCUAGGAGAGUUGGUUGCAGAGAAAGAAUGUUACGGCAAGAUAAUACCAUGUUCUCUCCCAGCCUCUGCCUAGCAAAAGGGAGAUGUGCUGGGGAUUUAUUCUGUUGCCUGGAGCUGACAGACUGACUUCUUCCUGCCCCUGGAAUGGUGCAGGCGGGACAGAACACUUGCACCAGCACCCUUUUUUAACUUUUUUUUGGUGAGAACAAGUGCCCGAGUGACCUGGUUAGCAAGCACUGUGCUUUACUUAUUAAGCAGUGACUAAUACAAUGCAAAGGAUUAAUUUUGAUUUCUCCACCAACCGCUUCCCCCUCCCCCACACUCUUACACUCUUCUUAUCCCUGCUUUUUUCUUCUCAAUCUCUUACAGUCUGGCUGAAAUGCUGAUAUUUUUUUCCUCUGCUCCUAAAACAACUUUGGGCCAUUCCCUUUUUUAUCUUAGUUCGCUGGGUUCUCUUUGCAUUAUAGAUCAUCUUUGUCCGAAAAGCAGUGCCAACAGCCACUCCCAGUGCCAUUCAUACACAGUAUGUGUCUUGUCCCGGGUCCUGUCACAUGAUGUUUCCCAUGUUAGGUGUGGUGUUGAAUGUGCUAAACAGAACUCUUAGACACAAAGGGGAAAUGACCAAAACCCACGGCCUUAAAUUCAUGGCUCUCUACCAGCCCCUUCAUGCAGAACCCCCAUCAAAAGUCAGUAUUUCUGUGCAUCCAGUGCUGGCAGGACCUUAAAACCCUUAAAAUCAGAUAACAUUCAGAUCCCCAGUACAGUAUUUGUGGCAUCAGUGGGGCAAAUUCAUCUGCAUUUCAAGGCAGAAUGCAUUCGUCUGUACUUUCUCCUGGCUUUUGUUCGCAAAAAAGAAAAAAAACCCACAUUGGCAGAGCCAUGUUACUGCUUCCUGCUUCUGUUGUUGAGUGUUUUGCAGCUACCACGGCUGGCCAAGAAGCUGUAAAUCUUGCCUGGUGUUCUGUAACAAAGAGAAAAAUAGAAUGAUUUGUGUUGACUUUUGGUCAUCGUGUAUCAUUAUCGAUCCGAGGGAGGGCGGCGGGGGAACGCGUUACCGUGUAUCUGUUGCUCGCCAGUUCUCCGGGAAGGCUGCGUUACCCAGCAGUCAGUAGAGGGCAAUAGAGAAAUACAGUUUUGUGAUGCCUAAAGGAUUUGAAGCCCUGAUUAUGUGUUUACAGAAAAGAAAAAGAAGAAAAGAAGAGCCAGGAGGAUAGGUUGUUCAGUUUACUACCGGAGACCUGACUGUGACAGACCACCAAGGAAACAAAAUUUUCUAAGAGAGUAAAGAAGACCUUCUGCAGCAUCUGCAAGGGUCUCCUUUUUUUCUUCAGAGUUACGUGGGAUAACUUAGCCAGAACUUAUCAAUGUCUACAUGUUCAGUGGACUCGGGAAUGGACUGGGAGAUGCAGAAAGGCACUCUUUGGAAGGAACAGAAGAGGAGGCAUUUCAAAAAUCCUGCAGGUGACCAAGGUGAUGAUCUGCUAACAGAAUAAAUAAAUCAUAGAUAGUACUGAGACUGCUCAGCCAUUUGCUGUGGUAUCACUUCUACAUGAGGCUAGGUCUGGGCCUGUGCCUUCCUCAUCAGCAUGCCUAUUAAUGUCGUCAAGAUUGAAGACAUGAGAAGGAUGAGGGGACCAGCACACAACAGUGAAAAAGAUGCCAGUACAAGGAUCAAGACCAAAAGCAAUCAGACUUCAGACAGAGAAGGAGUAGGAAAGUUGCUGAGGUCUCCACAUAGGUGUCUGAUAACAGUCCCACCAAGGUGGAAGUGAAACUGUCUCACAACUCCGCCUCUUCUCCCUAGUGCCUGUGGAGGCAACUUCCAGCAUGACACAUCCCAUCUUUGCCUCUCCAGAGUAUGGGACUGCUUGCAUCGUUCUCUGAAGGGUCUAGUGCUGGUACUUCUAGACACUAGCUUUCAGCAUUACUGAACAACAACCAGAGUUCCCAGCAACACUGCAUUGGACAGCCCUGCUUGUUGGAAGAAGGUGAAGAAGGAGCUUCCUGCCUGGGUACCUUGUGAAGGAAGUGACCAUUGUGGGUGGAGGCAUGCAGACAACAUACCCGAAGUCCCACUACUUUCCUGUGCAGGGAAAUCCUUCAGCUUGACUGGAGUCAGAGGAAACCUGGUCCCUGUCCCCAGACAAGGUCACACAGCAGUCUUGGGGAUCAAUUUUCCUGGAUAAACCAGAGGUUUCCUCCCGGUGGACAUUUCUGUGCUCUCUUUCUCUAGCAAGCAGCUUUGAUUUAGGAAACUUUUUCUGCUGAUUGGGUAUCAUCUGAUUGUUACUGGAGUGCUGGGGUACUGGAGAGUUGGAUGAUGAAAUGCCUGACCUGUGGCUGCCCAAUCUCAUGCUGCUUCCUCUCUGCAAUAAUGCUCCCACACAGACAUCCAUUUACUUAUCUAACCACGGGCUAACUUUUUGUCUGUUUUUUUUCUGAGCUGUUGUGGGAUUUGUUUCCAGUAGGCGUAUUACUUGAUUAAUGACCUUUCUGUUAACACUUGCUCAUAUUCCAUAUGGGAUCUUCUUGGGCUAUCUAAAAUGCACAAAAUACUUAAAAGAAUUUUUUUUCUCAGCUCAUCUCUGUUUUUAAUAACAUAAUUUAUUUCUCCCUCCUCCAAAGAAAAAAGAGCAUUUUCUAGCUUGCUCAAGCUCACGUUGAAUGUUUCUUGUGAUUCAUGUUGUCACCUUGUGCAGUAUUCCAAGAAAACAGAGCAUGGACAGGCUCUGUCAGGAAGGGUUUUGUAAUCUAUUUGUCAUUUCUUUUCUGUAUAGAUUAAGGGCUAAAUUUUGUGAUGGCAGAUGAAUUUGUAGACCCUAUCUCUUUGAAAUCACGCCAGCUAUUCAAAAGAGAGAAGCUGCUUUUCUUUCAACCCAUGAUAGUAGUGCUUUCCUGGAUGCAAGUUGAAAAAUAUUUACAUAAUUAUAAAUAAGCAGUGUGUAACUAUAAAUAAAGAACACGGGUAAUAAAGUGUUAUCAUUGAAGUUGAAAUUAAAAUUGGAUCCUGCCAAGCCCUAAACAUAGAUCAUGACAGAAAAAAUCCAAUAAGGUUUUUUUGUUUGUUUGUUUGUAGGUGCUGUAAUUAUAGACUAGAUAAAGGAAAGAAAAGAUUAUCCAGCAGACAUAAUUUGUAAUGAUUACAGUAACAUUUCUGAUGCAAUGCCAUGAAAAGAAUGACUACUUGUGCAUGGCAUCUACAUGUGCAUCUACAUCCCUCCUCAGGGAGGUGCCCUCUGCAGCAUUUACCUCAUAACCCGAAACAUGUCACAGGCUGUAUGACCAUGGGCUGUGUGACCACAGCCUGUAUGACCACGGGCCUGUUUCCAAAGAAUAUGCUGUGGUGUGCACUGGGUGACUCCUGCUAGGAUUGUCUCUGAACCUGACCCCAUGCAGCUAGAUCCCCCCACCCAGGGGACCCCCUGUUGUAUGGUAAAUUAAGAAGCCCUGGAGCAGAGGGAUAUGUUGACUGUCUCUAAAUGCAAGACGUUCAUCUUGAAUUAAGCUACUUCUUUAUCACCAGGGUUUGGUCUGAGCACUGUGCCCUCCACUGGCAGAGCAGGAAAAGAUUUGCCUCCAUUGGGAACAUGAACUGUUGUGAAAAAGUGCAGUUGGGCUCAGAAAAGCCCUGAGACAUGUUCACGCAAAAACAGAAAGCAUUUCGUUUUAGUUACCAAGAGUGAAAUCUCUUGUUACCUUUCUGGAAACCAAGGCUUGAGGCCAAAAGCAAUUUCUUGUACUUCAAUAACUGAAAAUAAAGCCUUAAAAAAGAACAUGUCAGGGAAUUAAAUGAGAACCACAAAUUUAGCAGGGCUAGUGAUUGCCCUGGAGAAUAUUGAGGUGAAAUGUAUAGAAAAGAGGGGGUUAGAGACACAGUUAAGUGAAUUACUAGUCCCAUCUGUAACACCUGUCAUAGUCCUGACUACUGGGUAUUUACUUUCAAAGAAAUCAGCUUGCACUACUGUUUGCUGAAGAGCCCUAAAUCAGGUGUGCAGGCGCAAUUACUAAAAAUGAAUCUGUCAGAGCAAAUCUCAGGUAAUCAAGGAGUCCUGUUUGGGCUCCCCUCCUGUACUCAUCCUUGCCUUAGGGACAACCAAAACCAAUGUUCCUCAAAUCUGUUGGGAAUGAGCAACACAGAUACAAAGUAGACUUACUAAGAAGGUUAAAGAAACUUUAAGGUGUUUGCCACAAGCUAAUAAUGGCAUCUGGGAGUCAGCCAUCCACAGGGGCAUGUCAAAUGGUGUUUGUAUCACCAUGAAAAGACUCAGGAUUAUUUUAGUGCCAAACAGAAGACAUAAUCUGAUGCAAUUUUCAGAAGCACCAUCAGACCCUGAUAGACAACGUAUGCCCACAGCUUCUCACACCUUCUUGCUGUAGCAGGUAUAUUCUGAUGGGGUUUCAGUGCACAGUCCAUGACAGAUGAUUUGAAAACUGAGUAUUCCUGAGGAAUGGGCAUGAAACUCUUGUUUGAUUCUCUGAACUCAGUCCAUUGACUAGUGUCUCUGAGCAAAGAUGUUUUUUUCAUUAACUAGAUCUCUGUUUAGUUGUGCUUUUCUUAUUAUAGAUGAGAUUCCCCCCAGCUUGUCCUUUGUCUUUAAGCUAUGCAACUUUCUGUAGAAAAUUAUGCAUGAAUAUAUAAAAGGCUAUGGACAAUAUCAAGAAAUGAGUAUGCUAACAUUUCUGUUUCUCAGACACAUUUUGGUUGAGUUUAGUUUUUGUU